rnacentral:rRNA from 1 species
UACGUAGGGGGCGAGCGUUAUCCGGAUUUACUGGGUGUAAAGGGAGCGUAGACGGCCAUGCAAGCUCGGUGUGAAAGGUGCGGGCACAACCCGCAGACUGCACUGAGAACUGUAUGGCUGGAGUGCCGGAGGGGCAGGCGGAAUUCCUGGUGUAGCGGUGAAAUGCGUAGAUAUCACGAAGAACCCCGAUUGCGAAGGCAGCCUGCCGCAGCGUUACUGACGCUGAAGCUCGAAAGCGCGGGUAUCGAACAGG